AAAUAUUAUUUUUUGGACACUUUGCCAUCAGGUCGACGUCGCGUCGCCCGGAGCUCAAACGACGAUUACUUGCUGCCACUCGUCCUGCUCCCCGUUCGGUGGGCAUUGUCCUGCGGAGCUCCUGGAGUUCCUGGAGUCGCAUUCGAAGUCUGACUGUGGGUCCCGGAGCCACGGCCUUUGUCUUCGGUGGCGGCGGCGUUGCACCAAUUGUGCACCAAUCCGACAACAAAAGCCAAAAACGCUGCAGAUGGGAACCCAAAAGUAUACGAGAAGUCUACCCAAAGUAUAUAAAGAAAAUGAAAGAAGUGGCUGUAAAUCAAAAAGAGCCGGUUCGGCAUCGUUUGUUGCCAAAAAUACCAAAAUUAAUUAUAAUAAUGACAAAGAACAAGCACUUUGACCCCGCGUCCGCAUCCGCAUUCGAAUCCGCAUCCGCGCGCGUUCGGUUGGCCAAUUGUGAAUGUGGAUUACAAAUUCGCGUGUGCGACUUGAGAAAAAUAUUGGAUAUGAAAAGCCUGGACAAAAAUGUAUUUACCAGCAUUUCCGCCUUGCGGUUUGGCAGCUGAAGGGACAGUGGUGUAGCUUUUGGACCGGCUCCCUUGAGUUUGCGGGGCGUGACUUCAAUUAAAGUGAUUUGUGGCCUCCGCUUCUGACACACGAGACGUAAAUAGCGGCCCUGAAUUAUGGUGCUGCUAAAAUAUGUAUACUAGAGCAUAGUCCUCGGCCCACCGGAGGAACGGAAACCGCCUCAAAGUUUGCUAAUUGAAGAGCUCCUUACUUAUUAUGUCUCCGCCCCGAAAAUGCCCAACAAAAUGCCGUCGGCGGAAUCGAAAAUGUCGGCAAUUCGGAUUCCCGGCGAAGAGGCAGUGGAUUUAAUGGAGCCCCAUGAUGGCCGAGCUGAAAAUGAAGAAGAAGAGGCGAGACAGCGGCAGCCAUCAUGGAUGUGAAAGAGAGCGUGCUCUUGGCCUCUCUCGCUCGCGCUCGUGCCUACGACAGUGCGGUAUUCCACAGCGGCCAUGCUCGCUCCAUGCUGCUCUGCUCGCCACUCACCUGCGACGUCGUCUGUUGUGAAGUUCUUGCGACGUGAGCGACCGAAACUCGGGGCCCCGAAAAACUAGAGGCCCAAAAAACAGGAUUGUGAGCGAGCGAGGGAGCGGAGGAAUUUCGAGGGACUUUCUGCGACUGCGUCGUCGCCCAGACAAAAACAAAAAAAAUGCAGAAACAAAGGCCGACGGACGAAGGAAGUUGCCCAGGUUUGAUUACACAUCGACCCCUGGAGCGAGGACUUAACCCGACGGCAGCUGCAUCAGUUUCAGUUCUCCGAGGGACAUGUAGAUGGAUACUCUGGGCCCUCAUUGAAAUCGGACACGCGGCGUUGUUGACCCGACGAUUGCACGGCCGCAACUGAAAGGAGCAGACAGGAAAAGCAGAAAAGCAAGCCGGCGUGUCCUCGUAAUUGUCGUUUCCUUUCGGCCCGUUCGCUCGUGUCUCGCUCGCACUCGUGUGCGACCGAUUUUACAAGCGUUUUCCUCACUUCCGGUCGUCCUGUGUCUUGUGUUCGGUGGUUGCUGCUGUCCGGCUGAUUUUUCAACAGGGAUGGGGCCCGAAAAUCGAAAAUGAUUGCGAUAACCACAGACGUUUAGCCAGCACUUGUCACAUAAGACGUGUCCUUCUAUUCCGCCAUAUAUGGAUGUCCUUGGUCCUGGAAAAUAUCAUGGAAAGGAAAGCGAAAAGAAAACAGUAAGUUCAAGAAGUUACGACAACGCACAAAGUUUCCAGAUACCUCUGGCAUUAAUAUUCCCAGCCCCAGCUCAACUAUUUCGCCAAUCGCGAUAAUCACCCUUUGUUGCCAUCCAUUACCCACCUGCCCCAUCCGCCAGGAGCUCCUACUUGCGCCCUCGAGCACGUCCUUUCGUUUAAUCCCUAACAAGAAAGGGGCGGUCGGCCAUCCAACCCAACUCACACAAAGUCUGGGAAAUACGGCGGAAGACUGGGAGUGAGGUUGAGAGGUUCGCAGCCAACCAGGCAACUCUCUGGCAAUCUAAUGCCCAAGAUAAAAUUCAAAAUUUAUAAUAUUGCACAGUUUGCCCGAUAUAAAACGUAAACUUAUGGCUUUCGUGGAGUACGUGCCAUAUUUUUCUAUGUGUAUGUGCCCAAGUCUCAGCCACUAUAUAUUUGCCUAUGUCAGUGGCCGUCUGUGUGUGUAAGAGUCCUGGCUCCUGUUUCUGUGCUACUUCCUUUUUUUCUGCCCAACCCUUGCCAGCAAAGAGUCAUGAGCUCGUUAUGCCUGUGAGAUUUCAUUUGUGUGCCGUGGCAACCCUCGAAAACAGUGGUUCAAUACUAAACUUUCCAUAGAAAAAUCAAUGGACAAACAAAUUUCAAUAAAUUACAUAGAAAAUUGUUUUUAAAUACUGAUAAGUAUCAUCUGUUGAAGCUGAAAUGUUAGAGUUAAGUUCUUAACGUGAAUAAUCUAUUAACUUAGGUGGCAUACUUAAAAUACAUACGUUUGAUACAAAUGUUUACUUUUUGCUUUAAUACUGUAUUUAUUUAAGAAUAUAAAUUACUAAAUUCUUUUAUCUUAUUGAAUAAAAUCGUGUACCGUUUUUAUGUAAAAUUUGUACUACCUAA
rnacentral:lncRNA from 1 species